ACACAUGCAAGUCGAACGGUAACAGGAAGAAGCUUGCUUCUUUGCUGACGAGUGGCGGACGGGUGAGUAAUGUCUGGGAAACUGCCUGAUGGAGGGGGAUAACUACUGGAAACGGUAGCUAAUACCGCAUAACGUCGCAAGACCAAAGAGGGGGACCUUCGGGCCUCUUGCCAUCGGAUGUGCCCAGAUGGGAUUAGCUUGUUGGUGGGGUAACGGCUCACCAAGGCGACGAUCCCUAGCUGGUCUGAGAGGAUGACCAGCCACACUGGAACUGAGACACGGUCCAGACUCCUACGGGAGGCAGCAGUGGGGAAUAUUGCACAAUGGGCGCAAGCCUGAUGCAGCCAUGCCGCGUGUAUGAAGAAGGCCUUCGGGUUGUAAAGUACUUUCAGCGGGGAGGAAGGGAGUAAAGUUAAUACCUUUGCUCAUUGACGUUACCCGCAGAAGAAGCACCGGCUAACUCCGUGCCAGCAGCCGCGGUAAUACGGAGGGUGCAAGCGUUAAUCGGAAUUACUGGGCGUAAAGCGCACGCAGGCGGUUUGUUAAGUCAGAUGUAAAAUCCCCGGGCUCAACCUGGGAACUGCAUCUGAUACUGGCAAGCUUGAGUCUCGUAGAGGGGGGUAGAAUU
rnacentral:rRNA from 1 species